rnacentral:rRNA from 1 species
AACGAACGCUGGCGGCAUGCCUAACACAUGCAAGUCGAACGAGACCUUCGGGUCUAGUGGCGCACGGGUGCGUAACACGUGGGAAUUUGCCUCGGGGUAUGGAAUAACUCAGGGAAACUUGAGCUAAUACCAUAUAAUGUCUUCGGACCAAAGAUUUAUCGCCCUGAGAUAAGCCCGCGUAGGAUUAGCUAGUUGGUGGGGUAAAGGCUCACCAAGGCGACGAUCCGUAGCUGGUCUGAGAGGAUGAUCAGCCACACUGGGACUGAGACACGGCCCAGGACUCCUACGGGAGGCAGCAGU